CUUUUCUUUUGUUUGUUAUUUUCUUUGAAUAAGAGGAUUGAGAGUUUCUAAAUAUUAUGAAGUGAAUUAUGGAAUGGAAUUGUGAUUGGUAUUAUUUGAGAAGAAGAAAGAUUGAAUGCUGAAAUUUGAUUGUAGUUCAGCAGAGAGAAUGAGUCUGUGUUUGUGUGAAAUACUAUAAUAUGAAUAGUAGUUCUAUGUGAAGAAUUCCAGUGAUUGGAACGAGGAUAAUUGUGUGCUGAAAGCUAUGAGGGUGCAGUAUUACAGUUGGAGAUUAUGAGGGUGAAUAUAUUGGUGGAAAUAACAGUUAUUGGUAUGAAUGAAUUG
rnacentral:lncRNA from 1 species